rnacentral:rRNA from 1 species
CCUACGGGUGGCAGCAGUGAGGAAUAUUGGUCAAUGGGCGUAAGCCUGAACCAGCCAAGUCGCGUGAGGGAUGAAGGUUCUAUGGAUCGUAAACCUCUUUUAUAAGGGAAUAAAGUGUGGGACGUGUCCUGUUUUGUAUGUACCUUAUGAAUAAGGAUCGGCUAACUCCUUGCCAGAAGCCGCGGUAAUACGGAGGAUCCGAGCGUUUUCCGGAUUUAUUGGGUUUAAAGGGUGCGUAGGCGGCCUUUUAAGUCAGCGGUGAAAGUCUGUGGCUCAACCCUAGAAUUGCCGUUGAAACUGGGAGGCUUGAGUAUGUUUGAGGCAGGCGGAAUGCGUGGUGUAGCGGUGAAAUGCUUAGAUAUCACGCAGAACCCCGAUUGCGAAGGCAGCCUGCCAAGCCAUGACUGACGCUGAUGCACGAAAGCGUGGGGAUCAAACAGGAUUAGAUACCCUGGUAGUC